CCGUUGGACUAAAAAUGGGCCGA
rnacentral:siRNA from 1 species